rnacentral:misc_RNA from 2 species
CAACCCCUAAGCACAGCUUAUUGUUGGGAAUCUACGGUCUCGUAGUUCCUCAAAGACAUUGGCGGAGUGGCAGCAGUCCUCUGAGCGUAGUAAUUUUUUAUCUCGCUUCUGUUAGGCGCUGUCCCCCCGGCCGUUAAACCCCCAAUUUUUUCU